CUAGUUAUAUAUGGACCUCAAUAAGCCUUACAAGGCAUAUCAUCUAUGAAAUAAUGGUUUGGUGUUCACAGAAGUUUCACAUUAUGUCAUAGUUACUCGGAACAUGAAUGCUUAAGUUCAACUGUUGCAGUUCUCAAAUUUGUUAUCUUAAAAUAUUUACGAUGUAUUAAGUUGUUUAAAGAUUUCUAGUCGACUGAAAGAAUCUGUGUUAGAUAAGGGCAUAAUAUUUAUCCUCAUACUAAAACUUAUAAAUACUGUAAGAAAAAUGGCCUUUACCAAAUUUGUUUUUUUUUUUGGUCGUUUUUUUUUAAUUAUUAGUCGUUUCUAACGUUCUGAACUUAAAAAAGAUGAAAUUUUACGAUUUUAAUAUUCUUGAAUUCAGUAUGCUUCAACGCAUAUUUGAAUUUUACAAAAUUAAGGUCAUAGAAAAUUUAAGAUUAAUCAACCAAAUUAAAUAUUGAGUUGUAAUUUCAUCUUAAUUUGAUCUAAAAUUCAAUCUCAGUCAAAUGAUGAAAUACACACAAAUGACUAGACUGCAUGAGUCAAAAGAGAUAUUUGUCAGGUUUAAUAAAGCUUAUACUUUUAAAUGACUUAUCAGUAAUUUGAUACAUUGGUGAUUAUUGAUUGUAAUACAUCCAUGAUCCAACACUUAGAAUAAUUCAACCACCCAAGUUUAAUUUGAACAAGAUCACUAUCUACUCAAAAUGAUGCUAAUUCUUAAAUAAAUGUUUAUUAGUUAAUAAGUGACAUAUGAUACAUAUGAUACAACUAUAACUAGCAGGAUUAAUCUAACACUACACAGUUCAUUAAAUAUAAACAUAGCUUGAGUUUGUGUAUCCGCAUAGUUAUAAAUAAUAGUUUAUCUGCCAAGAAUUCCUUGGGUACAUUAAUGGUUUACAUUUUUUCAAUAAUUCAUUCUUUUUUCAAACAAAAGUUGAAAGAAAAAGUUGCAAAGACAUUUUUUCUGCAACUGUAAUCGUUGUUUAG
rnacentral:lncRNA from 1 species